AAGCUGCGCCGCAUUUCGAGUUGAUUGUGAAAGGGAAACCGGUGUAGGACGUGCGUGCACGCAAAACACUGAGGCCCCUGGUCGUCCAGAAAACACACAGAAGGAUAUGAUCUUACGGCUCGCCUCGAUGGGGGAAGAUUUUGUGCUGCCCCUCUAGGAUGUGAGGUGAUGAAACCUUAAGGACAGCUUGGUGUCCUCCCUGGCCUUCAACACUGCAGCAUGAUGUGUGCUGCAGCAGAGGCUGUCCUCCCAGGAUGCAGCAGGAGAGGCUGUCCUCCCAGGAUGCAGCAGGAGAGGCUGUCCUCCCAGGAUGCAGCAGGGCGUCACAGCAGAGAAUCCUGGGAUGUGAAAAGGAGUGACUCCAUCUUUUUCCUGUGGCUGUGAUGGCAGAACAAUUCUGAGUCAAGAAUCCUGAGACUCCAGAACUUUUGAAAGCAGUAGGUGGAUGCAGCAGGGCGUCACAGCAGAGAAUCUUGAGAUGUGAAGAGGAGUGACUCCAUCUUUUUCCUGAUAUGAUCUUACGGCUCGCCUCGAUGGGGGAAGAUUUUGUGCUGCCCCUCUUGGAUGUGAGGUGAUGAAACCUUAAGGACAGCUUGGUGUCCUCCCUGGCCUUCAACACUGCAGCAUGAUGUGUGCUGCAGCAGAGGCUGUCCUCCCAGGAUGCAGCAGGAGAGGCUGUCCUCCCAGGAUGCAGCAGGGCGUCACAGCAGAGAAUCCUGGGAUGUGAAGAAGAGUGACUCCAUCUUUUUCCUGUGGCUGUGAUGGCAGAACAAUCCUGAGUCAAGAAUCCUGAGACUCCAGAACUUUUGAAAGCAGUAGGUGUUUUGCAGGAUAGGCUGUCCUCCCAGGAUGCAGCAGGGCAUCACAGCAGAGAAUCCUGAGAUGUGAAGAGGAGUGACUCCAUCUUUUUCCUGCUUUCAGGACUGGGCUUGGAUCAGUACCAGAUCGCUGAGCUGGUCCUAGCAGAGCCACUUGUCAGCAGGACGGCCCUGUGCAGUGGGCUGAUCUCAGGACAACAGUCGCUAUAGAACAUCAGGUUUUGCUUUCACCUCUGCACUGCUGGUUGCAGAACGGUGUCAAUGAGGCCUGGCACAUUCACCAUGUCUAUUGGUUUAGAGAUGCAUCACUGUUUCCUCUAACCACCCCCACCAUCAGGAUAUGAUCUUACGGCUCGCCUCGAUGGGGGAAGAUUUUGUGCUGCCCCUCUUGGAUGUGAGGUGAUGAAACCUUAAGGACAGCUUGGUGUCCUCCCUGGCCUUCAACACUGCAGCAUGAUGUGUGCUGCAGCAGAGGCUGUCCUCCCAGGAUGCAGCAGGAGAGGCUGUCCUCCCAGGAUGCAGCAGGGCGUCACAGCAGAGAAUCCUGGGAUGUGAAGAGGAGUGACUCCAUCUUUUUCCUGUGGCUGUGAUGGCAGAACAAUCCUGAGUCAAGAAUCCUGAGACUCCAGAACUUUUGAAAGCAGUAGGUGUUUUGCAGGAGAGGCUGUCCUCCCAGGAUGCAGCAGGGCGUCACAGCAGAGAAUCCUGGGAUGUGAAGAGGAGUGACUCCAUCUUUUUCCUAUUGCUGCUCGACAAUGAUCUGGUGACAUCAUUGCACAUUGUGGCAAAUACCUUUGUACAGCUGUUGUGGUUGUGUACACUGCAAUAGAAUGUCUACUUAUUGAAAUAAACAACCAUUACUCUCA